rnacentral:rRNA from 1 species
UUAAGCGACUAAGCGUACACGGUGGAUGCCCUGGCAGUCAGAGGCGAUGAAGGACGUGCUAAUCUGCGAUAAGCGUCGGUAAGGUGAUAUGAACCGUUAUAACCGGCGAUUUCCGAAUGGGGAAACCCAGUGUGAUUCGUCACACUAUCAUUAACUGAAUCCAUAGGUUAAUGAGGCGAACCGGGGGAACUGAAACAUCUAAGUACCCCGAGGAAAAGAAAUCAACCGAGAUUCCCCCAGUAGCGGCGAGCGAACGGGGAGCAGCCCAGAGCCUGAAUCAGUGUGUGUGUUAGUGGAAGCGUCUGGAAAGGCGCGCGAUACAGGGUGACAGCCCCGUACACAAAAAUGCACAUACUGUGAGCUCGAUGAGUAGGGCGGGACACGUGGUAUCCUGUCUGAAUAUGGGGGGACCAUCCUCCAAGGCUAAAUACUCCUGACUGACCGAUAGUGAACCAGUACCGUGAGGGAAAGGCGAAAAGAACCCCGGCGAGGGGAGUGAAAAAGAACCUGAAACCGUGUACGUACAAGCAGUGGGAGCACGCUUCGGCGUGUGACUGCGUACCUUUUGUAUAAUGGGUCAGCGACUUAUAUUCUGUAGCAAGGUUAACCGAAUAGGGGAGCCGAAGGGAAACCGAGUCUUAACUGGGCGUUAAGUUGCAGGGUAUAGACCCGAAACCCGGUGAUCUAGCCAUGGGCAGGUUGAAGGUUGGGUAACACUAACUGGAGGACCGAACCGACUAAUGUUGAAAAAUUAGCGGAUGACUUGUGGCUGGGGGUGAAAGGCCAAUCAAACCGGGAGAUAGCUGGUUCUCCCCGAAAGCUAUUUAGGUAGCGCCUCGUGAAUUCAUCUCCGGGGGUAGAGCACUGUUUCGGCAAGGGGGUCAUCCCGACUUACCAACCCGAUGCAAACUGCGAAUACCGGAGAAUGUUAUCACGGGAGACACACGGCGGGUGCUAACGUCCGUCGUGAAGAGGGAAACAACCCAGACCGCCAGCUAAGGUCCCAAAGUCAUGGUUAAGUGGGAAACGAUGUGGGAAGGCCCAGACAGCCAGGAUGUUGGCUUAGAAGCAGCCAUCAUUUAAAGAAAGCGUAAUAGCUCACUGGUCGAGUCGGCCUGCGCGGAAGAUGUAACGGGGCUAAACCAUGCACCGAAGCUGCGGCAGCGACACUAUGUGUUGUUGGGUAGGGGAGCGUUCUGUAAGCCUGUGAAGGUGUGCUGUGAGGCAUGCUGGAGGUAUCAGAAGUGCGAAUGCUGACAUAAGUAACGAUAAAGCGGGUGAAAAGCCCGCUCGCCGGAAGACCAAGGGUUCCUGUCCAACGUUAAUCGGGGCAGGGUGAGUCGACCCCUAAGGCGAGGCCGAAAGGCGUAGUCGAUGGGAAACAGGUUAAUAUUCCUGUACUUGGUGUUACUGCGAAGGGGGGACGGAGAAGGCUAUGUUGGCCGGGCGACGGUUGUCCCGGUUUAAGCGUGUAGGCUGGUUUUCCAGGCAAAUCCGGAAAAUCAAGGCUGAGGCGUGAUGACGAGGCACUACGGUGCUGAAGCAACAAAUGCCCUGCUUCCAGGAAAAGCCUCUAAGCAUCAGGUAACAUCAAAUCGUACCCCAAACCGACACAGGUGGUCAGGUAGAGAAUACCAAGGCGCUUGAGAGAACUCGGGUGAAGGAACUAGGCAAAAUGGUGCCGUAACUUCGGGAGAAGGCACGCUGAUAUGUAGGUGAAGCGACUUGCUCGUGGAGCUGAAAUCAGUCGAAGAUACCAGCUGGCUGCAACUGUUUAUUAAAAACACAGCACUGUGCAAACACGAAAGUGGACGUAUACGGUGUGACGCCUGCCCGGUGCCGGAAGGUUAAUUGAUGGGGUUAGCGGUAACGCGAAGCUCUUGAUCGAAGCCCCGGUAAACGGCGGCCGUAACUAUAACGGUCCUAAGGUAGCGAAAUUCCUUGUCGGGUAAGUUCCGACCUGCACGAAUGGCGUAAUGAUGGCCAGGCUGUCUCCACCCGAGACUCAGUGAAAUUGAACUCGCUGUGAAGAUGCAGUGUACCCGCGGCAAGACGGAAAGACCCCGUGAACCUUUACUAUAGCUUGACACUGAACAUUGAGCCUUGAUGUGUAGGAUAGGUGGGAGGCUUUGAAGUGUGGACGCCAGUCUGCAUGGAGCCGACCUUGAAAUACCACCCUUUAAUGUUUGAUGUUCUAACGUUGACCCGUGAUCCGGGUUGCGGACAGUGUCUGGUGGGUAGUUUGACUGGGGCGGUCUCCUCCUAAAGAGUAACGGAGGAGCACGAAGGUUGGCUAAUCCUGGUCGGACAUCAGGAGGUUAGUGCAAUGGCAUAAGCCAGCUUGACUGCGAGCGUGACGGCGCGAGCAGGUGCGAAAGCAGGUCAUAGUGAUCCGGUGGUUCUGAAUGGAAGGGCCAUCGCUCAACGGAUAAAAGGUACUCCGGGGAUAACAGGCUGAUACCGCCCAAGAGUUCAUAUCGACGGCGGUGUUUGGCACCUCGAUGUCGGCUCAUCACAUCCUGGGGCUGAAGUAGGUCCCAAGGGUAUGGCUGUUCGCCAUUUAAAGUGGUACGCGAGCUGGGUUUAGAACGUCGUGAGACAGUUCGGUCCCUAUCUGCCGUGGGCGCUGGAGAACUGAGGGGGGCUGCUCCUAGUACGAGAGGACCGGAGUGGACGCAUCACUGGUGUUCGGGUUGUCAUGCCAAUGGCACUGCCCGGUAGCUAAAUGCGGAAGAGAUAAGUGCUGAAAGCAUCUAAGCACGAAACUUGCCCCGAGAUGAGUUCUCCCUGACUCCCUGAGAGUCCUGAAGGAACGUUGAAGACGACGACGUUGAUAGGCCGGGUGUGUAAGCGCAGCGAUGCGUUGAGCUAACCGGUACUAAUGAACCGUGAGGCUUAACCU